rnacentral:rRNA from 1 species
UGCAUGUGUAAGUAUAAAUAAUUCUACUUUGAAACUGCGAAUGGCUCAUUAUAUCAGUUAUAGUUUAUUAGAAAAAAUGUACUACUUGGAUAACCGUAGUAAUUCUAGGGCUAAUACAUGAGUAAAUCCUCGACUUUGAAGAGGUGUGUUUAUUAGUAUGAAAACCAUAUGCUUGUGCAUAAUAGUGAGUAAUAAUAACCUUUCAUAUCGUAUGUUGAAAUAACGAUAGUUCUUUCAAGUUUCUGCCCUAUCAGCUUUCGAUGGUAGUGCAUUGGACUACCAUGGCAGUAACGGGUAACGAAGAAUUUGGGUUCGAUUUCGGAGAGGGAGCCUGAGAGAUGGCUACCACAUCCAAGGAAGGCAGCAGGCGCGUAAAUUACCCAAUCCUGACAUAGGGAGGUAGUGACAAUAAAUCACAAUGCGGGACUUUUAGUUUUGCAAUUGGAUUGAGAACAAUGUAAAAGAGUUAUCGAUAAACAAUUGGAGGGCAAGUCUGGUGCCAGCAGCCGCGGUAAUUCCAGCUCCAAUAGCGUAUAU